rnacentral:rRNA from 1 species
UAGUUAUAUUCUUUAAACCUAAAGAAUUUGGCGGUAUUUUAGUCUAUUCAGAGGAAUCUGUCCCGUUAUCGAUAGUCCACGUUUUAUCUUACUUUAAUUUGUUUAAUCAGUAUGUAUACCGCUGUUAUAAGUUUAUUUUAUAAGAAUUUAAUUUACUAUAAAUAAUAUUUUAUUUUAUUUCAAGUCAAGGUGCAGUUUAUAUUAAAGUGGAGAUGGAUUACAAUUUUAUCUGAGAAAAUGGAUGUGUUUAAUUUAAAAUUUCAUUGAAGGUGGAUUUGAUAGUAAUAGUUUUAAAUAAUAAUUAUUUGAUUAUAGCUCUAAAAUAAGCACACAUCGCCCGG